rnacentral:rRNA from 1 species
GACGAACGCUGGCGGCGUGCUUAACACAUGCAAGUCGAACGGAAAGGCCCUGCUUUUGUGGGGUGCUCGAGUGGCGAACGGGUGAGUAACACGUGAGUAACCUGCCCCUGACUUUGGGAUAACUUCAGGCAACUGGGGCUAAUACCGGCUAGGAGCUCCUGCUGCAUGGUGGGGGUUGGAAAGUUUCGGCGGUUGGGGAUGGACUCGCGGCUUAUCAGCUUGUUGGUGGGGUAGUGGCUUACCAAGGCUUUGACGGGUAGCCGGCCUGAGAGGGUGACCGGCCACAUUGGGACUGAGAUACGGCCCAGACUCCUACGGGAGGCAACGGUGGAGAAUAUUGCACAAUGGGCGGAAGCCUGAUGCAGCAACGCCGCGUGCGGGAUGACGGCCUUCGGGUUGUAAACCGCUUUCGCCUGUGACGAGGCGUGAGUGACGGUAAUGGGUAAAGAAGCACCGGCUAACUACGUG